GCCACUGUUCUGGGAGGUGGCUGCAGGAAAGCUUCUGAGGUUCCUUCCAAUCUGGCACCUGCAUUUGUGAGACAGGCCAGCGGAGCUCAGCGAGGAAAUUGUAGGGCAAGUAACAACAAACAAUUGCACACCAUUUGACUGACACAAUGCUGUGGGUGAGAGAUGCGGCAGGUCCAGAAAUACUAACUGAGGCUGACCUCACAGAGCCAGCCCACUUAGACGCAGGACGAUUCAUUUCUCGUAAAUGCGGGUGACCUGAGCAGCGUGAGAUCCAUGAGGUGUUUUCCAGAAGCAGUUUCCAGGAAAAUUCAAUCCUGCCUGCAUUGACCAAGGCCACCUCCUCUCUAAGCUUGGCCUGGCAUUCAUUGCUUUACACGAUGUGCAAACUCAAUAAAACAUACUACUAUU